rnacentral:rRNA from 1 species
UCCGAAGGGGGCUAGCGUUGUUCGGAAUUACUGGGCGUAAAGCGCGCGUAGGCGGUUUUGCAAGCCAGAGGUGAAAUGCCUGAGCUCAACUUAGGAAUUGCCUUUGGGACUGCGAGGCUUUGAGGACUGGAGAGGUGAGUGGAAUUCCCAGUGUAGAGGUGAAAUUCGUAGAUAUUGGGAAGAACACCGGUGGCGAAGGCGGCUCACUGGCCAGUUUCUGACGCUGCAGCGCGAAAGCGUGGGGAUCAAACAGG